ACUCGACACUAACAUGUAAAAACAUGUAGGAUCAUGUCAUGUUAGGAUCAUUUUUAUGUUGUUUCUAAUUUUACAGAAGCAUUGUAGUGACAUCAUUCCACAUAGAAGAGACCUCAUCAUUGUGACUUUCCACAUGUCUCCAGUUUGGGGCACUCACUUCAUUACAGUAUGUGAGUCUUGGGAAUGUGGCGAUUGUAAAGUGUGUGGCACAGAAGUAUCCAGUAGGUAUGAGUUAUUGAAACUAAUUCUAAGCUCAA